rnacentral:lncRNA from 1 species
AUGGGAAAACAGGUGUCGACCGUGAUCCUUAUCAUAAUAAAUAUUGUGAGCGCUGUUGGAGGACAUAAGAUUUUCAACUGUGGCCGUACCAGCCGUUUGACGAUUCCUCGAGUGUGUUUCCAGCCUAACUCCUCAGCAACUGUGGUCAUUCCAUUGCAAACAAUGUCCAGAAAGGGCCAGACAGCAGACCGGUAUUCAAAAAGCCCGUGGUAUAUGACCAACGACCAACUAAACACUGGGUGGGAAACCCUCGUCGCUGAUCCACCAGGACACAAUUGGUCUUCCUACACUCGCACUAAACAUGCUCGUCGCCAGCGACCUCUCCUGAGCCUCACCCCAACACAAAAACGCGCCCUGGCCCUGUCGGUGGACCUAACCAAAGGAAAUCUGCUGGGAGAUGACCCCAAGAAAACAGGAUGCUGGCUGUUCCUAAUAUGGGCAUGGCUAAGAUCGCGAGACCCACAUUUCUUGUUGGAAUUAUGUGUGGACCCGCCCAAACCAGACCCAACGAUAGAAAUUUCUCCCUUAGCAAUCGCAAAAGGAAUAAAGGUGUUCUCAAAAGCAAAGGUGGACACUUACAUCGAAAUAAUGACUGGAAUUUCAGGAAAUAUCAACAAUUGGUUUCUGCUCUCCGAACAAGCAGGAGCAGUAAUUCCAGACGAUUGUAUUGUGUGCCUAGGACCCAGGCCACUGUUAAAAGUGGUGCCCCCACCGCCAAUGUUGAAUGGAACCUGCUUGGAGGGACUUCUGUCACAGGAGAGAAUUGCCAACUGCUCAGAAUGGGAGACACCUUUUCCUGUCACGUCCAAAACCUCGUCACCACCCCUCUUUGACACUGAUGUGGCCCCAGGAAAUUUCACUUGCUUCACCAAAGAACCCCCAGCGCAGUUUCUACUGGAGGCCAUCAACCAGACAUGGUGCAGAAAAACAAUCAAUGCAGUCGUUCCAUUUAAGGUGGCAAGAGCGUAUUUAUGGUGGUGGUGUGGAGGAAAGACCCUGAGGAAUAUUCUCCCAUGGAAUUGA